UACGGAGGGUGCGAGCGUUGUUCGGAAUCACUGGGCGUAAAGGGCGUGUAGGCGGUCUGUUAAGUCUGAUGUGAAAGCCCGGGGCUCACCCCCGGAAGUGCAUUAGAUACUGGCGGACUCGAGUCCCGGAGAGGAGGGUGGAAUUCCUGGUGUAGCGGUGAAAUGCGUAGAUAUCAGGAGGAACACCGGUGGCGAAGGCGGCCCUCUGGACGGUGACUGACGCUGAGACGCGAAAGCGUGGGGAGCAAACAGG
rnacentral:rRNA from 1 species